ACUAUUUGGUGAGUAGAUAAAUAGAUAGAAAGAUAGAUAGAAAGACAAUAGUUGAACAGUUAUGAUCAAAUUAAUUUCUUCCAAAAUUAAGGGGAAGCCAGAGCGAGGGAGAGAGAGAGCCAGCUAUAUUUCCUAGUUUAUGUUUAUUUUUUUAAACUUUCACUUUCACUUACUCAGCUAAUGAAUGAAGCUAGCUAGUUUAGCCAGCUCAAACACCCAGCUCAAGCAAUUAGCUGGCUAUGGCUAUCCCAAAAAUGAACUCUUCCAAGUCAAGGACCAGAGUACUUUUGUACCUGUUUCCUCCAGCAUCUUCACAAGCUCCUUUGCUGUUGUUCUGGAAUUGAUUUGGACUUUUCACACCAAGAUGAACGUGGUACCUGCAGGUGUUUGGAAAUUGCUCCCAAGGAUGAACCAGACUGGCAGGUGUCUUCCCUGACAUUUUCAACAUGUCCCUGAUUGAGUCUGUAAUACCAACAUGUUUCAAGCAGACCACCAUAGUCCCUGUGCCUAAGAACACAAAGGCAACCUGCCUAAAUGACUACAGACCCGUAGCACUCACGUCUGUAGCCAUGAAGUGCUUUGAAAGGUUAGUAAUGGCUCACAUCAACACCAUUAUCCCAGGAACCCUAGACCCACUCCAAUUUGCAUACCGCCCAAACAGAUCCACAGAUCAUGCAAUCUCUAUUGCACUCCACACUGCCCUUUCCUACAUGAACAAAAGGAACACUUAUGUGUGAAUGCUAUUCAUGGACAACAGCUCAGCGUUCAACACCAAAGGACCCUCAAAGCUCAUCACUAAGCUAAGGAUCCUGGGACUAAACAUCUCCAUCUGCAACUGGAUCCUGGACUUCCUGACGGGCCGCCCCCCAUGUGGUGAGGGUAGGUAGCAACACAUCUGCCACGCUGAUCCUCAACCCUGGAGCUCCCCAGGGGUGCGUGCUCAGUCCCCUCCU